GGAAGGAGCAGGUGGGGAAGGCCUCCCAUGUGGGUCCUGGACUCAGAAAGCAUCAGGAUGGACUUUACUCCUUGGCCAACUUGGCGCCUGUCUCUAGGGCUGCCUCUGAGGAUGAAGGGUCUGCUUCAUUCUGCUGCCCGAGGCUCCCAUCUGCAGCCACUUUAACCCCCGCAGCCAGAACAGGUUGAAUGAGUAGGGUCUCUGGGGACAGAUGCCAAGAAGUGGAGCUGCCUGCGUCUGCCUGAGACCUGCCUCCUUCAAUCUCUUGCUCCUGGGUUUCUGUUGCUGUCUCCUAGGCUUCCUGCUACCUAAAGCAGGGCAAGUACUCUGAGGCUGAGACUCUGUAUAAAGAGAUCCUGACCCGUGCCCACGUGCAGGAGUUCGGAUCUGUGGAUGAUGACCACAAGCCCAUAUGGAUGCACGCUGAGGAGCGGGAGGAGAUGAGCAGGAGCCGGUCCCGUGAGAGCGGCACGCCCUAUGCAGAGUAUGGAGGGUGGUACAAGGCCUGCAGAGUGAGCAGCCCCACGGUGAACACGACGCUAAGGAACCUAGGGGCUCUGUACAGGCGCCAGGGAAAGCUGGAGGCAGCUG
rnacentral:lncRNA from 1 species